AUAUCCUUUAGGGGAUGUCACGGCUUUGGUUAAGUUUUCCUUUUUACUCCUUAGCUGCUAGCGCAGUUUUAAUGAUAGCUGUUUCACAUGUGCAUGCGGCACUCAUGUGGGCAGAGCUGUCAGAAGACUGUAAAGUCUCAACCAUCCUGCGAUUGCUUGCACCUGAGGAAGACGGAAUGACGAUGUUCUGCGCCAUGGUAUUCCUUUGCUCAUUCAUACACUGAUUUAUGGCUCGUUGUUUUCCUUUGGCUCAAGGUGACAUCAGUACCUACAAAAAGGCAAAUAUACGUGAGAAUGCUUUUAUAGCAAAAUCCUUGUUUGCAAAGGUAAUGAUGUUCUAAAACUGGAAAAAAUGCAACUCAGGCAAAAGGAAGAAACCCUAGCGUGACUUUUUCUUCCUAGCUUUUGUGGGUAGUGAAGUUUUUCUCAACAUGCUAUCAGAUUGGUUCCAUUAUUUAAAAGUAUUUUUAACACAGGAAAAAGUUUCGUGUUUUGUAUUUCGCAAUGCGAUUCGAUCAUCUUCCGCUGUUCCAGAUGGUGGCUUGCACCGUGCAAUCAGGCUGGAUCUUACACAAGAAUCCAUUCCAAACCCUGAAUAAGGGCCCAAGCCCAGAGAGGGACUUGUGUAUCCAUUGCCACAGGAGCAUUACAGAAACAUGCCCCCUAGGCUUGGACACCGUGGAAUUCAGGGAGCAAUUCUAGCUAGGAAUAGUAGGGAGAUAAAGAUUUGUUGUUGUUGUUGUUGUUGUUGUUUGUUUUUUUGAGACAGAGUCUCACUCUGUCACCCAGGCUGGAGUGCAGUGGCGCGAUCUCGGCUCACUGCAAGCUCCGCCUCCCGGGUUCAAGUGAUUCUCCUGCCUCAGCCUCCCGAGUAGCUGGGACUACAGGCGUCCACCACCAGGCCCGGCUAAUUUUUUGUAUUUUUAGUAGAGACGGGGUUUCACCAUGUUGGCCAGGAUGGCCUCAAUCUCUUGACCUUGUGAUCCGCCCGCCUCGGCCUCCCAAAGUGCUGGGAUGACAGGCGUGAGCCCCCGCGCCCUGCCAUGACGGGACUUUCUGACGUGGCGCUGUGUCUGGGCUCGCCCUUUCCUCGGAUCCCACCUCUCCGGAGGACGGGGAGAGUGCUGGGUAAUCCUGGGAGUUCCUAAAAGCCAGCACAGAAGGCAGGGGUUUCUUUCUCUGGGGGACUUCGGAGGAGGUGGCCACUGGUCUGAGAAAGUCUAAGUGUAGGUUGGGACUUCGGUCAACUGGGACUUAACUAUGCCACUCAAACUGGUGUGCAUGCAAUGCCACUUCUGCUGGGUCUGAAGAGGGAGGCCCUGCACCAAGGCCACGUUCAUAAGACACAGGGUGGAGAAGAGAGAUGGCAUCCCAUGGGGAGAGCUUGUCUCCCAAAGACUGGUCCAUCUGUUGAAAGAGGCUGUCCUCUCCCCUUAUUUCCUGAGGAGCUGCCCAGGAGGGCUCCCUGCUUCCCUCUGGCCUUCACAUUGGCCACCGGGACCAGGAGGAGCCCUCCCUCUUCCCUUCCCCUACCUGUCUCUCUCUCUCUGUCUCUCUCUCUGUAUCUCUUUGUCUCUGUUUCGCUCUGUCUCUCUCUCUAUGCCUCUCUCUGUCUUCCUCUUUCUGCUUCUCGUUGUCUUUCUCUUUGUUUCUGUCUUUCUGUCUUUCUCCCUCUUUCUGUCUCUCUCCCCCAUUCCCCCGUCUCUCUGUCUCUCUUUCUUUGUCUCUCUCUCCUUCUCUCUGUCUCUCUCUCACUGUCUCUGUCUCUGUCUCUUUCUGUCUCUGUCUCUCCCAAUCUCUUUGUCUCUCUCCCUCUCUCUGUCUCUCUCCCCACCCCCACGUCUGUCUCUUUCUCUGUCUCUUUCUCCUUCUGUCUCUCUCUCUCUCUGUCUCUCUCUCUCCCUGACGGUGUGGUGCAUUCUCUGACCCUCCCCUCCCCUCCUUACCUUUAUGACUGGCAGGUGGAGAGACAGCUAGUGACUCUUCUGUGGCCCAUCUUGGGAUGUGGCCCUGGGCAGUACUCACUGGAGGUGGACAGGACAGCACUUGCCCCUGAGGGCCCAGCAGUCGGCUCAGGUCGCCCGUGUGCAUAGAGAGGUGGAAGGUCAGCUUCCACUUCUGUGUUGGUUUCCCUAGACUCUGCCACAACAGAGCAUCACAGAGCGCGAGUCCUAAACAAGAGGAAUUUAUUCCCCCACAGGUCUAGGGAGGAGAGGUCCAAGAUCAAGGACCGAAGGUGGGUUCCUCCCGAGGGCAGGGUGGGAGAAUCUUUCCAGGUGCCUCUCCUAGUUUCUGGUGGCUGCUGGCACUCUUGGGCAUUCCUUUGUGUGAGGAAGCAUCCCCUGGUCCCUGCCUUCAUCUUCACAGGGCCUUCCUCCUAUGCGCAUGUCUGUCCCCGUAGCCACAUUUUCCCUUUCCAUAAGGACACAGUCAUAUUGGAUUAGGGCCCACCCUAUUGACCGCAUCUUAACUUGAUCAUCUGCAAAGAUGCUAUUUCCACAGAAGGCCACACGCACAGAUAUUGGGGAAAUCAUCCAGCCUGCAAUGACUGCCAAGGUGUGCUCUGCGCCUGGCUCGCCUGGGAGGAGCUCCAGAACAUGGGGCAGAGGCCACUCAGGUCGGGAACAGACAGUAACACACCCCCUGCAGAUGCCCUACCGUUUGGCCUAUGAUCCUUGGAUCAGGGCAGCGAUGCGUGAAGGUGGAUAUUAUUAUGACUCUAAAACCACACUGCCGUCCUGCCCCCAGGUCCACCUCAGAGCUAAAAGGGCCCCUUGAUGCAGUUCUUGGGGCACCCGUGGUGACAGCCCACUGGAUGAACCCACAAUGCACCCCACACUGCGCUGGGCUCGAGCAUCCUUGCUGUGAGGGUCCCCCUGCCUGAGCAGAUCUCACCCUGCAGAUGAGAGACACGUGUCUACCACCUAGCCAGGAUGUGCAGAGGGGUGGCUGGGGUCUCAGUGGAAGGGAAGGUGGCUGCUGUCUUUCCUAGGGCUGGGAGCUUUGAAAAAGGGAAAAACACUCACUCCGCUGAAUGCAGCUCUUGGGGGACUGGUGGGCCAACCCACAGGAUAAGAACUGCAUUGCAGGGGCCGGAGCCCAGGAUAAGGUUCACAGUGCAUUCUGAAUUUCCACCUAGCAUGGGCUCCAAGCACUGCGCUUGAAUUUGAAAUAUCAAAAGUAUCGGACCUCGUGGAAUUGAUACAUAGGUGAAGCACUUUUCUUUCUUGGUUGGCAGAGUAUAAAGUUCAGUAGUAUUUGCCUGCGCAUGACUGUCUUUUUCAAAUGAGGAGGGGAGUGGGAGGCAUGGAAAGGAGAUGGUUUGUUCCUAACAAACUACAUUCCAGAAUGUUCUCUCCAAGGUUGGAGCCCUUCCUUGGCUGGAAAGCUGUGUGACUCUCCCAUACUCUGAACAGGGCCAUCUUCAUGGCAGGCUUGCGGCUGCAGUCUUUCCUGUGGAUUUGCACCAGAGCUGUUUGUACCAGGGGCUUGUUGCAACUCAUCUUGCAAGGGGAAAUCCAAAACUCAGAAAUGACACAGCAUUUUAGAGUUGGUGGCAAGGCAGGAAUAGGAUAAUGGAAGAGAGAUUCAAGGUCCACACAGCACUUAGUGUUUUGUUGUUUUUUUUUUAACUUAACUUAUUGGGGGAAUAAACUAUUAGAUUUUUAUAACAUAUACUUUGGGUUGUUUGUUUGUUUUGAGAUGGAGUUUCGCUCUUGUUGCCCAGGCUGGAGUGCAAUGGUGCGAUUUCAACUCACUGCGACGUCCUCCUCCCGGGUUCAAGCUAUUCUCCUGCCUCAGCCUCCGGAGUAGCUGGGAUUACAGGCAUGCUCCACCAUGCCUGGCUAAUUUUAGUAAAGACGGGGUUUCACCACACUGGCCAGGCUGGCCUCGAACUCCUGACCUCAGGUGAUCUGCCCACCUCAGCCUCCCAAAGUGCUGAGAUUACAGGCGUGAGCCACCGUGCCCAGCCUGUAACAUAUAUCUGGACUCAUAGGGCUCAUGAUAAAAUGUGGGAGGUUCUGAGUUCCGCGACUCCUCCCCGGCUGCUUUCUGAUCUUUUCCUUGUGCUUCCACAACCCGCUCCCUCCAAUGAGGUGGAAAGUGUGGGUAUGACGGAGUGGCCUCCAGCCACUGGGGGAAACUCUCCUGCAGUGAACAUGGCUUGUAGCCAGGUCAGAGAGACUGUGGGGUCCAUGGCAUGGUGGCAACUUCUAGCAAGAAUUAGAAGGAGAGACACACCCACAGGUCACGUUCACUUGUUGGCUGAGAGCAGUUUUCCUGGCUCAUGUGCAGAGUGUCAAGGUUAGCAGACCUCAAUGCCAUUGGUAAAUCCCUUCGCAAUGUUUGAAUGAGGAGAAUCCCAUAGCUGCACAGCUGAUUUAUUCCGUUUGUCGUUGGUGUCGUCAUCAUCACUCUCUGUUUUCCAGUCCUCAUCUCUGGCUUUGUGCAUUAGGAUGAAAGUCCUGAAAUGCAGUGUGAGUCUGGGCUCUGACAUGUGGGCUCUGGUGAAAGUUGGCACGCAAGUGACUCCACCUGUGGGCUCUGGCAUCCUCAGUCUGAACAUGAAAGGACUAACACCUUUGUCUAUGACCCAGAAUGGCUGUGGGAAUUAAACAAGAUGAAAAUAGGUGGAAAUCGAAGCUUUUCAGUUUGCCCCCUAGAACGGACGCUGAGACCAGUGUGUGUGCUGGGGAGUUACAGGCCUCACUCUCAGGACGAAGCCUGCACUGAGUGAAGAGGGAGCCAAGGGAGGAGUCUAACCGGCCAGCAGCUGCAGCCAAGGCCUCUGCCCAUUCCGUGGGAGUUCUGGACCUGGGGUUGGUGGGGGGGCCUUCAGAGUGGCCCCAAACAAAGGCAAAGGGACGAGCCUUUGUACCCGCCCUGCAGGCUGUUCAGUGGAGAUGAUGCAGCCUCGGUGAGGCCACAGCUUUGCAUAUGUCCAUUUCAAAUACAACAGCAAAGCUUACAGGCAAUUUGGGAUUUCAUGAAGUCAAUGAAAGUGACGUUGGAGAAUUGCUCAGGACUUUCCCACGGUCACUGGCACACGGUUAACUAUAAUUAGCAAUUAAAGAGCAAGUAAUCACCAUGGAAAGUGGCACAACAGCAUUAAGAGAUCUGCAUCCGCACAGCUCCGGUUAAAGACGCCUUUGAGAAAGAUGAUACAGCGAUGCAAGAGUGUUGCAGACAUGGCCUUUCGUGGGGGAGCGCUGUAAGCUGGGGGGGUGUCUCAUCCUGCUGGCUUAGAGUUUUGUUGGAAAAAUUACACCAGAAAAACAGUAACACUGGAAGCCUUCUUUGCUGAAUCUAAGGAUUAUUGCAUAAUUAUAACUUAAAUUUUGUAUAAACUAAAAUAAAUUUAUAUAAUUCGGUUUUAUUUGGUUUCAAGGUAAAACCAUCAACUGACCUUUUUUUUUUCAUUAUUUAUUAUGAAAGUUUUAUUCUUGUUUAAAGUGGAUUUUCCCUUACAUAGCCUUUUCCUGGGAACACGUAUCUUCAGAGGACAUCAACACCAGCCUCUCCUGCCAUGUCUUACGUCAAACUCAAUCCCUUCUGAGGGCCUCAGCUGAUGUCACAUCCAUAUAAGAAAUUGGGACACACCUUGGAAGUUUCAGUUUUGGUAUCCUGUGGUAAAAGUUGGUAUCUAGACAGGAUUAGCCAUCACAUCCCCAAGAAUGAGCUAUGGCUAGAUUUCUUCAGCUGAAGAUGAAAGACAUCUGCCUGCGAGUCAGCUCUAGAGGGUAAGAAAAUCUAGGCUUGGGAAGGUCAGAUGAAGAGGGUGGGAUCUCAAUCUCUAAAGACUUGGAAUUUCAAUCCCAGCUUCAGUUGUUCCAUCAAGAAAUGAGAAAAUGACAACAUAGAAUUGUCAUUUAUGGCAAAUUAUGCAUAAAUGUAAAAUAACUGCACUGCAGUUUCUGAAAACACUAAGAUUCCUAAAUAAACACCUGGGGCAUUGAGAUAGAUCGUGAGAAAUAAUACACAAAAGUAGAGGCAUGAAGGAGACCACAGGCCUCAGAUGGCAACAAAGUGUGGUAAAAACCAUCCUGUGUUGGGCCAGGUGCAGUGGCUCACGCCUGUAAUCCCAGCACUUUGGGAGGCCAAGGAGGGUAGAUCAUGAGGUCAGGAGAUGGAGACCAUCCUGGCCAACAUGGUGAAACCCCCUGUCUACUAAAAAUACAAAAAUUAGCUGGGCGUGGUGGCACGUGCCUGUAGUCCCAGCUCUCGGGAGGCUGAGGCAGGAGAAUCACUUGAACCCAGGAGU
rnacentral:lncRNA from 1 species